GGUGAGAUCCGAGUAAGAAAACCGAUGCGAAAGCCACAGCAAGUGGCAAAGGGCUGCGCGCAGGUGAGAAGGAAGGUGCCGACACCUGCAGGAAAGGGAUCUCUGAAGACACUCGCUUCCGGUAGGAAAGGACCCAAACCCACCCACACCACCCGCAUCCUCCCGCACCAGCAGGUCGGUGAGCUCGUCCGCCGGACUCCGAAACCAUGGCCUACCCGGGGGCCGAGCUCCGACAGGCCAGCCGUGUAGACGGGACAGAAGCGUCCCGACACCGUCGAGCCGGGACCGCCAGCCCCCCGGGCUCGGGGCGGUUUUCCCCCCCAGGGAGGAGAAGGAGGAUGAGGAAGGUGGGAGUGACUUCAUGAAUGGUGUCAUUUAUAACUGAAAUCCAAAGGAAUCGUUUCAAGCUGACAAAUCAAGUCAUCCAAGUAUGAACAUUUAACACCACGAAGGUAAGCAUGAAGAAAUACUGACUCAAAUCAGGUGAGUUGGGAAGGAAGGGGAAGGAUGUGUAUUUUAUUGUUGUUUAUGGGAAAGGGCUAAGACAUUAUCAAAGGAAGUAGAGGAUAUGGGGCCAAAUGAGGUGUAAUUAUAGAGGCAAAUAAGACAACAUCAACUUCUCUAAUGACAGCCUGAAGAAACGAAGAGGGAAAUGAACACUCCUGACUGACGGGAUCACAUUGUCUCCUGCUACCACAGCUCUUGCUACAUCCGGGUUGUUCUGUGUAAUGAAGGGCUGGCUGGCACCCCGCAGGCAGCACUGCCCUUCUCCAUCUCGGCUGAGAUCAGUGCAUUCAGCAACGCUCCUCAAACUGUGUUGAAUGCCUGGUGUCCUUUUUUAUUUCCUUUCUGUGGCAACCCAGUCAGGAGAAUGAAAUGACACCUAACCAAAGCAAACACAUGCAAAAUGCAAGCUCUAAUCAUUGGCUGUUAGAGUCCAGAGACUUAAAAAUAAUGAAUAUAAUAAUAUUGAGAAAAAGAAUGACAAAACUAUUAGGUUCUUUGUUAAAAGUGUAACAGUGGUUCGUCUGGAGAAGUAUUUUCAUAGGGAACUCUAUUUUCCAAAGAUGGCUGCCACAGCAUCAUGAACACCAACUUGCCCGCCGAGUGAGUGACGCCUCACCAGCAGAGAUGAACCAUCCACGCUGAGUCCUACCCAAAUUGUAGAUUUUGACUUCUUUUUUUGCCUAGUUUGCUUCCUCCUCCUUCUCUUCACAGGGGAUCAUCUUGCCCCCCAAACUCCUCUUGUUGGCUUCUGGAGAACUCAACUUGUGACAACACGUAACACCCAGCCCUUAACCUGGCAACUUCCCUUCUUUGGUAUUAGAAAUGCUAGAAAAUUCUAGCAUUUGAAUUACCCAAAAUGUUAAAUAAACCUGGUUAGAAUUUAGACCCAACUACAAAAAAAGCUUACAUUCAGUGUAAGUUAUUUAGGAAAUUCCAAAUGCUUUUCUUUGUUGCUUGCUACAUGUAGUACUUUAUAAAUGAUGCUUUUCUGCACAUGAGCAGGAGCUCUUUUCUCAAAAGCUAGUGCAGAACACAUGUGACUGUUCACUUAAAAGGUUUAGCAAAGAAAAGUCCUAGUCAACUGCAUUUCACAUUACUUCUAGUACCUUCAACCAUACUUACAGUCUACAAACAUGGUAGGACAAGAGAAUGGGGAAGCAACUGAGGCACUUGACUCAGGAACAAAGUUUGGUGGGAUUCCAAAAUAAUCAGUCAUCAACAUAAAUGGCAUUUUAAGAUGAUAUUAAAAAUUAAUGCAAAAAAUAUUCAUGAUUUUAAAAUAUCAAAAUUGUUAUCGAGAUCAUCUUCACAUGACUGACUGAAUGAAUAGCAGAGGUUUGUGAUGGGGUCACAUACCUGCGGUCAUCACCCCAAAGCACCUCAUUCUAGGUCCUCAUAAAUUGUUGAUGACAACAUUUUUUCUGAUUUGAAAAAUAACAAAUAUACUUCACAUCCAUUAUGAUGACUAUUAUAAAAAAACUAAAUUAAACAAAAAUGGACAAUAACCAGUGUUGGUGAAGAUGUGGCAAAACUCAUUGGUGAUGGGGAUACCGAAUGGUGUCAUCACUGUAGUGGUUUCUCAAAAAGUUAAACGUGGAAUGACCAUGUGAUGAUUCAGCAUAUGAUGAUUCUACAUACCUAGCAGUUCCACUCCUAUGUAUACACCCAAAAGGGCCUCAAUUCUUGGGUAUAUACCCAAAGAGAUCCUUGAAUACCCAUGUCUUUAACGGCAUUACUCACAAUAGCCAAAGGUGGAAACAAGAUAAAUAUUCACUGGCAGAUAAAUGAAUAAACAAAAUGUGGCUUAUAUGUACAUACAAUGGGAUAUUAUUCAGCUUGAACAAAUGAAGUUCUAAUAACAUGCCACAGCAAGGAUGGACCUUGAAGAGACUGCACCAAGUGAAAUAAGCCAUAUACGGAAGGACACAUGGUGUAUGAGUCCAUUUAUAUGAGGUACGUAAAAUAGGCAAAUUCGUAGAGGAAGAUGGUAGAAUAGUGGUCGCCAGGGACUGGGGGGAGUGGGGUGAGAAGCUAUUAUUUAAUAGUUUCCACGCAGGUUGAUGAAAAUUCUGGAAAUGGGUGGUGGUGAUGGUUCCACACAGUGUGAAUGUAUUUAAUGCCACUGAAUUGGGCAUAUAAAAAUAGAAAAUGUGGUAAAUUUUAUGUCAUGUAUUUUUUACAGUAAAAAUGACAAAUGCUCACCUCAUAAAGUUAAACAAAUAAGAAAAUAAAGAGUAAAUUUUAAAUUAUUACUCAUGCUAUCACCCAGAGAGAUAGCUGGCUUCAGACCUUUCAUAGAACAUCUUGGGAUGACCUCACAACGUGUGGCAGCAUCAUUAAGACAUGCGUUUUUUUCCUCUCUGGCUUUUCUCUUCCUGUGUCAUGUGAGGAUAUCAGGCUUCACUUGCACGGUGUACACAGACAAAAGCAUCUUGGCCUGCAAAAUGUUUUCAUAUUGGCUGACUCCCCCUAACAAAUCCUAAUUUCUCUUGUCACUGAAGAGAUUAAGUGAAAGACCUUUGAGAGCAAGAGGAGAAAAGAGAAUUUGUAGGCUCCAAGAAGGAAUGGGGACAGAAUCUCUCACCUCACAAGUUCUAAGGGUUGGACCCAUGGACACACACCAGUGGCCAAUCCUCAGAUAGGAUGGCACUGAGAUGUCCAGCCUUCUGCAAAGAUUCUUCUACUGUAUUCCUGGCGUGGAAGAGGAGAGCUAAGGAACGUCUCUGGACAUAAGCAAUAAGAACACCAGUAACAGACUUACUUGGUACACUAGACAUUUAUCUCCUGUUAUGAAUCUAUUGACAAUUUUUUAGAAGUCUUUGGGAAAAGAGGAUAGAAGUCUUGGAGGUCUGGCAACUUUCUAAGACACAACUAUUCCUAUAUCAAGGAUUGGCUACAUCCAAAUGUCUUGGCAUGACAGCCAUUGGGUUAUUGGGUUUUGUCUUUAGUUUCUUUUAAUCUAGAAGAGUCUCUCAACCUUUUAUUUCAUUUAAUGGUCUCCACUUUGUGGAGACCAGGCUGGUUAUCUAGUAGAUGCCCUAUAAUUCUCAUUUGUCUGAUUGGUUCUUCCCGAUGUUAUGUCUCUCUCCCUUGAAUUUCCUGGAACCCUGCUGUUAGGUGUAUGGCUAACAUUUUUGUUUCAAGAUGAGAUUCAGAUCCCACAUUUUUGGUAGGAUAAGCACAUUUUGUAUCUCUUCCUACCCAGCAGCACAUAUCAGUUUGUCUACUGUAAGUGAUGCUCAAUUUAAUUGGACUUCUUGGGUAAGGUGGUGAUGAGCGUCUCUCUCCAUUGUAAAGAUCAUAUUCCCCUCUGUAAUCAGCAGGUCACCUGGGAGUGACACCAUGAAAUGUAGGCAGAUUGUCACCAAUAAUUCCUCCCAUUUCUGUUAGCAUGUUCUGCCCCUCCCAUCAAGAGGUAGAAAUCUUUUUCAUCCCUAUUCUGGACUGGCCUUGUAACUUAGUUUAAGUAAUUGUAAUGUGGUAGAAGUGGUGUAUCCUUAUUUUGGGGCCUAGGCCUUAAGAUGCCUUAAAGCUUCUCUUUUUGCCCUCUUGGGUUCAAGCUGCCCAGUAAAGAAACUCGGGCUGGACUACUGAAUGGUAAGAAAGCAUGAAGAGGAGAGAGGUCCCCCCAGUUCAGCUGGAGGCAUCAGAGAUAGGAGUGAAGCCAUCUUGAAUUCUUCAGCCCAGGUCAAGCUAUCCCAGCCAACACCACAUGGUCAGAGGCAAGCCCUGUCCAUGGAGCUCUGCUUAACUUGCAGCCACGGCAAAAAAAUAAAUGGUAUUUUAGGCCAACAUGGAUUUUGAGUGGUUUGUCAUUCAGGCAACAUAGGAAACAAAUCCCAUGUAAAUAUUCUGUUUCAUGCGGUAGUUUUAGCAUCCAUUGAUAUUUGCCUGGGUCAAUUAUUUCAUUGGGGUUGCCACAGGAGAGUUUAAAUUUUGCUGUUCUCUCUACAGCAGAGAGAGAGAGAGAGAGAGAGAGAGAGAGAGAGAAAGAAGGCAGAGAGAAGAGGGGGAGAGAAAAAGCACCAGUUUUCUGUCAACUUGGUAUAAAUGGCUGUUCCUCCCGAGAAUGGAGGGUGAAUGCUUCAUCUUUCCCAUGAUUAAUUUUCAGAACAGAAAGGUGAAGAGUCAGUCACUCCCCAAGGAUGGCAAAUAGGGUUCUCCACCCUCUACUUCUAGUCUUUCUUCAGUGCUUGUCCUCCAGUCCCCUGGGUCUCCACACAGACCUGUCCAUGAACUCAAAGCAUUGCGCUCUAACCGCUGAUUCAUUUGUCUGUUGAACUGAACUCUGUUUCUUGAAGGCAGGCACAUUAGGGGCAAAGCCAAGUACGUCUCAGUUCUACGCGAACCUAGAUUUCUAUCAUACUCCUACUUUUCUUCUUCGUGUAUAUUAUCUUACAUGGUUUAGAUAAUAUCUGAUAAUUUUUUUAACCAUGACACUGCUUUAUCUUUGGGUGGUUUUGAUGUUUUUUCAUUUCAUUUUUUGAUGGAAAGAGUACUGGCCACAGUAGAGUGGGCUGGUAAUAUAAAUCAGCAGUUCCUGACCCUCAAACCCUCAACUCCACCAGGAGUAAGCACUUUCAGUUUUUUAGGUUUGGUUCUUGUACGUCUCUCUCUCUUUUUUAAUGGCCACGAUAUCUUUCAACUCAAAUGCCUUUUUCACAGUGUUGCCUUGUCUCCCAGUGACAGGUGGGAUCUAUAUCCUCUCCCCUAGAAACUGGAGGGCCUUUGUGACUGUUCCAACCAAUACAGUACGGCAGUGGUGAUGCAGUGUGACUUCUGAGACUGCUACAGAGACUGCCAAAGUUUUCUGCCUCUCUGGAAUACUUGGAUCUCAAAGCCUUCGUCCUGACCACCUGGCGGAAGCUCCACGUAGACACUGCCUGGGGACGCGCUGAGGCUUCAUGGAGCUGCCCCUACUGCCCCCGGAGUUUCAUCGCUCUGCCAUGCCAGCCCCAGCCGCUCUCUGACCACAUCUGUGCGCAUGGUUCCCAGCUAGACCCCGUGAGCUCCUGAUCCACAGCAAUCAAGAGAGAAAAUAGUGCUUUAAGCCAUGAUGGUCAGGCCUCUUGGAGGCCAGGCUUGGUUUUUUGGUCAUACUAAGGAAGUAGCACCUUCAUUUACUCUGGUCCCAAGGAUCCCAGCAUCACUGAAUUAUUGCUUAUGAAUUCCGUGGGGAAGAUCAUUCUAAUUGUCACGCUCGCUCUAAUUGUCACGCAUGCACGUUCUAAUUGCCUCAUAUGCUGACAAGUCCACUUGGCUUGUAAUGGUUAAUUGACAUAACAUGGCUUCUGCAACCAAAGGAUCUUUUCAGCUCUGACGAAAUCAAAGAGCCAGUAAAAUAAUUGGGAAUGUCUUCCUUUCACCUAUCAAAGGCUCGGUUAGGGGGCUGGGUCAUGAAUCUCCCCUGGGAACAGUGAAGCCUUGGGAAGGUUCUCAAAAGAUGAAUCCAUGCCAGCAUUUCUAUUUCCUAAAGAUACUGGGUUCUUCCUUCUGCAUUAUGUAUUAAUGGAGUUCCGAUUCGAUUGUCGAGUUGUUUCUUCAACCACCGAAGCAAUUAAAACCACUCCCAGCAGCUCAAA